CAGAAGCAUCGCAAGCGCGUUGCCGACCCAAUCCCCAAUCCCCCCCAGGAGCUCUGGUCACCUUACUCACCAACAGGAACACAAUACUGCUUGAAAGCAGCAUUAUUUAGCUGUGAUCUUCUGUAAGGUCGAGGUACUACCCCAGUCGGGCUGCUCCGUAUUUUGAGCAGGAAAUUCCUGCUGUGCCCUACCUCAGUUAAAU
rnacentral:misc_RNA from 1 species